rnacentral:lncRNA from 1 species
CCUAAACCUAGCCCAACUAGUAGCCCAAAUUCCCCAAACCCUAGGGGCAGCCUCCAGUAACUCCAGCCGCCGCAUGACGCGGAGCCAGAAUCCUCCCUACGCGCGAUUUGCGCCUCAACGUGCGUGCGCACCCUUCCGUGGCCUCCAUUCCUGUAGAAAAUCAGAUCUAAAUGACAGUAGACGUAGGAAAUCACGGAAUAAAUAGUUUUUAUUAUUUGAUUUUAUUUUAUUUUUGUGCUUCUUGGCUAUAAAGCGCCGAUUUUUAAUCUGUAAAGAGAAAAAAAGAAAUACUGAAAAUACAGAGGAAUUGGAAGGUGAAUCGCGUCAUUUUUUUGAUCUAUUCUCUGUUUCUUUACUUUUGAUUGUGUUUUACAAAUAAAAUUAGAAAAGGAGGGAGGGGUUUUACCUUUGAAGCUUCGCCGUUGAAGCCCACACUCGCUUCGCUCAAAUCGGGAGCCUGGCGAAGGGCUGAGACCCGAAGCGCCUUUGAACGGCAGGCAAGCGGCGAUUUAGGGCGAAUGAUGAAACCCUAGCAAAGGGUGUUCUGCUUUCUUUUUAUUUCUUUUUUCUUUUCCUGCUGCAAAAGUGGUUCUUAGGAAGAAAACUGUUUUAAAUAAUAGUGGUGAAACGGCACCGUUUAGGUGGCCAUGACCCGCACGGUGACCUGACCCGGAGGGAAGGAUCUGCGCGUUCUGGAUUAAGGGGAAAUUUGCGCAAUUGGUCCCUCCCUUUUGCAACGCGCUUCAAUCAAACCUGUUUUGUUUUUUUUAAUUGAACCGCAUAUUUAAUUUUUUGUUUCAAUUUGGCCCAUCGCUGCGCAGCAUUUUGGAAGGCAGGGAUAAUUUCCCUUUUGGUCCUCCACUGUUGUGCGCGUAUUCAAGUUAGUCCUGUCUUCAAAUUUAUUUCAAAUCCGCCCCACUUUUUUUGUUUUAAUUCAAUUUAGUCCAUUUUUAGUUAUUAUUAUUAUUAUUUUUUAUGAUAUCAUCAUUAUACCAUUAUUAUUAUUACAUUAUUUACUAUCACUAUUACUAUUGUACUGUCUAUACAUAUACAUACGCAUAUUUUAUAUAUAAUAUAUUCAUAUUUUUAACANNNNNNNNNNNNNNNNNNNNNNNNNNNNNNNNNNNNNNNNNNNNNNNNNNNNNNNNNNNNNNNNNNNNNNNNNNNNNNNNNNNNNNNNNNNNNNNNNNNNAUACAUACAUAUUUUUUAUUUUUUUAUUUUAUUUUCCUAAUUUUUAUAUACUUUAUAUUUUAUCUAUAUACAUAUACGUUUUAUAACAUAUACACUUUCCGCAUUUUAUAAUUUAAAAUACACAUACGUUUUUUAAUAUUUUUAUGUACAUAUUUGUUUUUUAUAUAUAUACGCGUAUCCAUUUUUUAAAUAUAAUAUAAUUAUUAUUUUUAUUUUAUAUAUUUGUAUAUAUGUACAUGUGAAUAUAUUUAUAUAUAUAUUUUUUGUAACAAAUGUUUUUUUUUUUACAUUUAUAUGUAUAAAUGUGUAUAUUUAUUAUUAUUAUUUUUAAAAUACUCAAAUACAUACAUUUUUUUAACACGUGUUUAUAUAUAUAUAUGUACGUUUAUAUCUUUCUUUGCACCAUAUAUAUUGUUAUAUAAUUUUUAUAAUCCAAAGUUUUAUAUGUAAAUCACAUGUAUAUCUUUGCACCAUAUAUAUUGUGUUUACAUUUAUAUUUUUUAUUCAUUUGAUAUUUUACAUGUCAGAGAUUAUUAUUAUUUUUAGUUUAUUUAUUUUAUAUUAUUUAUAUGCCAUUGUUGUAUUUGUUAUUAUGACAUUCAUACAUACAAUAUAAUGUUACAUCAUCUUUUAUUCAAAUUUAAAAAUAGAAAAUUUUCAAAAUUGAGAUAAUGAUCGUAUUUAAGAUUUUCAAGAAAAUUGAGCCCUAACGUAUUGGGUUCCGAUUUUCUUCGUUAAAUCUUACAAUCGAGCAUUUCUCUUGAAUUAAAAAAUAAGAACUCAUUAUUGGGAAUUCAACACUUGUGUCCUAACGUAUUGGAUGUGACGCAUUGAUUUCUCGAAAUGAAGAUUUUUUCUAAAAAAUAAUAAAAGAAAUAUUCCAAGUUUGAGAUUCUGAAGGAAUUGUGCCCUAACGUAUUGGGCCGCGAUUUCUUAAAUCCUGAAUAAAUGGAUAUUCUUUUAAAUUUUUAUUACACGAGUAUUCUGGCCUAAUUCAUUUUUGAGGAAAUUUGAAUGUCGUGCCCUAACGCAUUGGGUGUGACGUUUUCUUUCU